rnacentral:piRNA from 1 species
GCUGAUUGUAAUAACCACUAUUGGGC